rnacentral:rRNA from 1 species
UCCGGUAACAACAGCGAAGAGGUCACACCCGUUCCCAUACCGAACACGGAAGUUAAGCUCUUCAGCGCCGAUGGUAGUUGGGGUUCUUCCCCUGUGAGAGUAGGACGUUGCCGGGC